rnacentral:rRNA from 1 species
GGAAUAUUGCACAAUGGGCGCAAGCCUGAUGCAGCCAUGCCGCGUGUGUGAAGAAGGCCUUCGGGUUGUAAAGCACUUUCAGCGGGGAGGAAGGCGGUGAGGUUAAUAACCUCAUCGAUUGACGUUACCCGCAGAAGAAGCACCGGCUAACUCCGUGCCAGCAGCCGCGGUAAUACGGAGGGUGCAAGCGUUAAUCGGAAUUACUGGGCG